UUCUGGUUUCUCCAUAUUAGCUGAUGAUGACAUUAGCAAGGACCCUGCUGCUAAAGACAAAUCAAGCAAUUCCUGUACAUUUGGAUCUGAGAGUGGUCUAUUUGAGCCCACUAUCACUACCCGCAACGUCAUGUCGGAGAUCAAUGAAAUGUUUGGAAUGUCACUUGACUUCUAAGGCACUUGCUUAGAGGGAAUUUAAUUAUUCAACAGGUACUGUUUGUCCUGCACCUUGUCACUCUUUUCUUGAGACUCCUUGUAUUCUGCAUUCAAGAUGUGAAAUGUGCUGCAUAUUUCGUCUAAAAAUGAAAAAAUGCAAUCAAUAUGGAAUAUAUGUACUACCAUUUGGUGAUAUAAUAGCUUGGGAUUCAGUUGAACUCUUUGGUGCAUAGUUGGCGACUGGUGAAUAUUUCAAAAACUGAUCAUUCGCGUUUAUCGUUCUUAUGUUUGAAUGUGCGUUUUCCUUGAUAAAAUUAGGACGAGCAAAAUGGUGACUAGCUUGGUUAUUCAUAUCGCCUUGAUAUCGUGAUGUUUUUGCUCUUACCUGAAAAAUGCUUCUCUUGACGCAGGUGCAGAAGAUGCACAGAAAAUGUUACAAGAUCACCCCUCUGGUGAUCCAGGGUGCAGAAACCGGGAAUGUACCAUGCCUGUGGUGUUCUCGCUGAUGUCAUAAUUUUCCAGGAUAUUUUCCACAAAAUGAGCUUCCAAAUCUUUGUUUAGCACCAGGCCCUUGAGUUUUGUACCAUAUGAAUGCUGGUAUAAGUUAAAUUGUUCCCUCAGGAUUUGAGGUCACAGAACAUUUUGUUCUCCCCACUGUAUUUUGUUCAUUAGAUCCUUGGUUAGCAUUGGUGAUGCUGCCCAUUACAAUGACUUUCUCUUUGUUGGAAGGCACUGCCAGUCCAUUAUCAAACUCUGUCCCCGCUUUGCUUGUGUUUUUGCUGCUUGUACUGAAGGAAUUUUACAGAAUAAAAAAUACAGUUCCAAACAGUGCCUACACUCUUACAUUUGUUUUUGCGAGUACACUUAUUUAUGGCCAUUAAGGUUUUACUUUCCAUUUUUGUGCUGUUUGUUGACAACAUGUUGCAGGUUUCAAUUGGGGAGACUGACGUGAAACAACUAGUGCACUAGCAUCAAGGAUCAAAGCCUACAGUAAGAAUUUAUUUAUUUUGGCAUAUUUAGAUAGGUAAUGAAACAUAGAUUAAU
rnacentral:lncRNA from 1 species